CAGCGCCGCGGUAAAACAGAGGGUGCGAGCGUUAAUCGGAUUUACUGGGCGUAAAGCGUGCGUAGGCGGCUUCUUAAGUCGGAUGUGAAAUCCCUGAGCUUAACUUAGGAAUUGCAUUCGAUACUGGGAAGCUAGAGUAUGGGAGAGGAUGGUAGAAUUCCAGGUGUAGCGGUGAAAUGCGUAGAGAUCUGGAGGAAUACCGAUGGCGAAGGCAGCCAUCUGGCCUAAUACUGACGCUGAGGUACGAAAGCAUGGGGAGCAAACAGGAUUAGAUACCCCGGUAGUCCCUGUCUCUUAUACC
rnacentral:rRNA from 1 species